rnacentral:rRNA from 1 species
GUUCGUCGUGCAGCUUGCAUGCCUGCAGGUCGACGAUUAGAGUUUGAUCAUGGCUCAGAUUGAACGCUGGCGGCAGGCUUAACACAUGCAAGUCGAGCGGGGAAAAGUAGCUUGCUACUUAACUUAGCGGCGGACGGGUGAGUAAUACUUAGGAAUCUGCCUAUUAGUGGGGGACAACAUUUCGAAAGGAAUGCUAAUACCGCAUACGUCCUACGGGAGAAAGCAGGGGACCUUCGGGCCUUGCGCUAUCAGAUGAGCCUAGGUCGGAUUAGCUAGUUGGUGAGGUAAUGGCUCACCAAGGCGACGAUCCGUAACUGGUCUGAGAGGAUGAUCAGUCACACUGGAACUGAGACACGGUCCAGACUCCUACGGGAGGCAGCAGUGGGGAAUAUUGGACAAUGGGCGAAAGCCUGAUCCAGCCAUGCCGCGUGUGUGAAGAAGGUCUUCGGAUUGUAAAGCACUUUAAGUUGGGAGGAAGGGCAUUAACCUAAUACGUUAGUGUUUUGACGUUACCGACAGAAUAAGCACCGGCUAACUUCGUGCCAGCAGCCGCGGUAAUACGAAGGGUGCAAGCGUUAAUCGGAAUUACUGGGCGUAAAGCGCGCGUAGGUGGUUUGUUAAGUUGGAUGUGAAAGCCCCGGGCUCAACCUGGGAACUGCAUCCAAAACUGGCAAGCUAGAGUAUGGCAGAGGGUGGUGGAAUUUCCUGUGUAGCGGUGAAAUGCGUAGAUAUAGGAAGGAACACCAGUGGCGAAGGCGACCACCUGGGCUAAUACUGACACUGAGGUGCGAAAGCGUGGGGAGCAAACAGGAUUAGAUACCCUGGUAGUCCACGCCGUAAACGAUGUCGACUAGCCGUUGGGAUCCUUGAGAUCUUAGUGGCGCAGCUAACGCAUUAAGUCGACCGCCUGGGGAGUACGGUCGCAAGACUAAAACUCAAAUGAAUUGACGGAAUCUCUAG